rnacentral:rRNA from 1 species
UACAGAGGGGGCAAGCGUUGUUCGGAAUUACUGGGCGUAAAGGGCGCGUAGGCGGCCUUCUAAGUCGAACGUGAAAUCCCUGGGCUCAACCCAGGAACUGCGUCCGAUACUGGAAGGCUUGAAUCCGGGAGAGGGAUGCGGAAUUCCAGGUGUAGCGGUGAAAUGCGUAGAUAUCAGGAGGAACACCAAUAGCGAAGGCAGCUCGCUGGGACGUUACUGACACUGAGGCGCGAAAGCGUGGGGAGCGAACAGG